rnacentral:SRP_RNA from 1 species
CGUCGGUCCCCCCGCGACGAUAAACUGUGAACCCCGUCAGGCCCGGAAGGGAGCAGCGGCAGCAGUGGACUCGGGCGCCGGGGUGUGGCUGGCGUCG